GACUCUGCGCCCUCCCUGGGCAGCUGCUCCAGUGCUCUGUGACGCUUAGUGCAAAGUUCUUCCUGAUGCUGAGAUGGAUCAUGUGUUUUGGUUUAUAGGCACUGCUCCUUGUCCCGUUGCUGGGCACGACUGAGAGAAGCCUGGCCCCAGCCUCUUGGCACCCACCUUGGAUAUAUUUAUAUGUAUUGAUGAGCUCCCCUCUCAGCCUUCUCCAGACUGAACAGGCCCAGCUCCUUCAGUCUCUCCUCAUAAGAGAGAUGCUCCAGACCCAUCAUCGGCUUUAGUCAGAUGUUACUGACCUAUAAUUAUUUUUUUUUUAUUCUUUAGAGCAUUGAAUAUGUCAGAUUUGUGAGGCAAUAACACUCUUAUACUAUGGUGUCAUUACAAUUCUGCCUCGGGGACAUGCAAAUAUAGAGAGCCAGCUUGUGUAAAUUCAUCAUGGUAGUGUAUUUAGCUGGAUUAGUUCCUUUAAACAAAUCUCCUCAGGCUUAAGUUUUAAAUUAAGAUAAUGAGCAGUCCUGCUGAAGUUGGAAAAACAGAGAGUUUGGUAUGGAAAUUCACUGAAUCAGGACUAGCCUACGUAUUCAGCCUCUUUAAAACAUUUUCCUCUUUGGAAUGUGGGUGGAAAACAGGUGGAAAACCUGUUUUACCUCCUUUGGGUAUUCCCAGUGUGCCUGCACCCAUAGCACAUCUGGUCAGCCUCCCAAAAUGUGUGAGGAAAAUAGUAAAGAUGCCACAAGAUAUGGUUCUCUUCAGUGUGACCUUAGAUAUUUGUUGGCUUUAGCGAAGUUCUGCUCAAUACAAAUGAAAGUCUGAAAGGGAUAAAGGUAUUAAUAAUUUAUGGUAAUUCUGUUAUUGAUGGUAAGAAAAGCAAGCUCUCUAAAAAUGAACACAAGCCAUGGUGUUUGUCUCAAGGAUUCUAUUACUCAAGCUGAGAUACCAACAAUGCACUUUGAGGGUUAAUUAUGGACCACAUGAUGGCAGCAACAGGCUCUGCUAGAAGAUCAGAGAUUGUUCUUCUUCAUCUUAAUAAGAAAUCAUUGAUGGCCUAAAGAGUUGCUUUGGUUAUUAAAAUAUGACCUGAAUAUUGCAACCUGUUACAGCUGAAAGAAGAGAUUCAAAUGUUUCAUCCUUGAGAUCACCACCUCAAGCCUCAACAUUGAAGAUAUUGAAAAACAGCAGAUGAAUUUCUUACUGUACCAGCUGAAGCAGAAUGAGUGUGGGUGAUAACGUUUGCAUUCAGAAAUCACUGACUCUGCCUUUGCACAUGAAGAGUGGUCUCAGGAACGUGCUCCAGCCCCUCUGCCCUGCCAUAUGCUGUCCCCACAGCUGUCUCAGGCUGCCCAUGAGGAGUCUGGCCACUUGGAUCUAUGAGACUGGAGCUGCUCAGCUUUUUGAAGUUAUGGGUGCAUAUUCACCCAUGUCCAGGAUUCUGAUAUUCAAAACAUCACAGUUUUGGAUCUGCCCAUAACUGGACUUCAGGGGAAUCACCAAGAGACUUCAAGAUGCACUGACUGAUUUAGACAAUUCUCAAGGUGGGCACUAACCUCCUGCAUCUUUGUGAUGAAAGUCCUGCAAUUUGAUGUUCUUUUGCACUGCACUGCUCCAUCUUCUUAGUUUUUAUUAAACUUUUAUUCAAUCAGGAUGCUUUAAGUAUCUGGAUCUUGAAAUUCAUUGCUAGAUUUUUUAGUAUUCAUCAUUCUCAUCCAAUGAAAUUGUUCAGCUCUUCUACAGCAAUUGAGAGAAAUAAAACUUCCUUGAUUCUGAAAUUUUGUUGGUUCAGAAGUCAGAAGGAUACUGUCUCUUCUGACUGUAAUGGCUGUGCUGUUGCUUUUGCUGUCAGCAGUGUUUAUUUUUAUUAAUAGAUACUACUUUGUUUUGUUUUCAUUUAGCCUGGUAACCUAAUAUUUAAAGUAGCCAAGAAUCAGAUUUUACCUAAAGAACAUCUCAUUUAUUGAAGGCUCUUUGAAAUUACUGGUUUAAUGUAUGUAUUGCAUCUUAGCCAAUAACCAAUAACCUCAUCUUCUUUCCGUGCAAUUCCAGUUCUGCAUAACAAAGAGAGGGCCAUAUGUAUCCAGGGGAAACUGAAUCACUUAAGCAGAAAAUAAAGUCUGU